AUUGAAUGCUGGCGGCAUGCCUUACACAUGCAAGUCGAACGGCAGCACGGGUGCUUGCACCUGGUGGCGAGUGGCGAACGGGUGAGUAAUACAUCGGAACAUGUCCUGUAGUGGGGGAUAGCCCGGCGAAAGCCGGAUUAAUACCGCAUACGAUCCACGGAUGAAAGCGGGGGACCUUCGGGCCUCGCGCUAUAGGGUUGGCCGACGGCUGAUUAGCUAGUUGGUGGGGUAAAGGCCUACCAAGGCGACGAUCAGUAGCUGGUCUGAGAGGACGACCAGCCACACUGGGACUGAGACACGGCCCAGACUCCUACGGGAGGCAGCAGUGGGGAAUUUUGGACAAUGGGCGAAAGCCUGAUCCAGCAAUGCCGCGUGUGUGAAGAAGGCCUUCGGGUUGUAAAGCACUUUUGUCCGGAAAGAAAUCCUUGACUCUAAUACAGUCGGGGGAUGACGGUACCGGAAGGAUAAGCACCGGCUAACUACGUG
rnacentral:rRNA from 1 species